AGCGAACGCUGGCGGCGUGCUUAACACAUGCAAGUCGAACGUGAAAGUAGCAAUAUGAGUGAAGUGGCGUACGGGUGAGUAACACGUGGGUAAUCUACCUUAGAGUCUGGAAUAACCUGCCGAAAGGCGGGCUAAUACUGGAUAGGUCAAGCGCAUUAUAAAGGUGCGAUUGGGAAAGGGAGCUCGUAAGAGCCUUCGCUUUAGGAUGAGCCCGCGUCUGAUUAGCUAGUUGGUGAGGUAAUGGCUCACCAAGGCGACGAUCAGUAGCUGGUCUGAGAGGAUGAUCAGCCACACUGGAACUGAGAUACGGCCCAGACUCCUACGGGAGGCAGCAGUCGGGAAUUUUCCACAAUGGGCGAAAGCCUGAUGGAGCAACGCCGCGUGCAGGAUG
rnacentral:rRNA from 1 species